AUUGAACGCUGGCGGCAGGCCUAACACAUGCAAGUCGAACGGUAGCACAGAGAGCUUGCUCUUGGGUGACGAGUGGCGGACGGGUGAGUAAUGUCUGGGAAACUGCCUGAUGGAGGGGGAUAACUACUGGAAACGGUAGCUAAUACCGCAUAACGUCGCAAGACCAAAGAGGGGGACCUUCGGGCCUCUUGCCAUCAGAUGUGCCCAGAUGGGAUUAGCUAGUAGGUGGGGUAAUGGCUCACCUAGGCGACGAUCCCUAGCUGGUCUGAGAGGAUGACCAGCCACACUGGAACUGAGACACGGUCCAGACUCCUACGGGAGGCAGCAGUGGGGAAUAUUGCACAAUGGGCGCAAGCCUGAUGCAGCCAUGCCGCGUGUAUGAAGAAGGCCUUCGGGUUGUAAAGUACUUUCAGCGAGGAGGAAGGCAAUACGGUUAAUAACCGUGUUGAUUGACGUUACUCGCAGAAGAAGCACCGGCUAACUCCGUGCCAGCCGCCGCCGUAAAAC
rnacentral:rRNA from 1 species